AAGUCGUAACAAGGUUUCCGUAGGUGAACCUGCGGAAGGAUCAUUAACAAAUGCCCCAACCAACCCCACUUUUGUGAAUUGUUAUCCUACACUUUGGUGUGCCCCGAGCAGGGUGGUUCAAAGCCUUGACUGAGGACCCCCUUGAGCGGACCACCAUUUUUUUACGUUAGCCUACCCUAAACUGAGACUUUAUACUAAAUAAAGACAACUUUUAGCAACGGAUCUCUAGGCUCUC
rnacentral:misc_RNA from 1 species